rnacentral:rRNA from 1 species
UGCUGAAAGCAUCUAAGCAUGAAGCCCCCCUCAAGAUGAGAUUUCCCAUAGCGCAAGCUAGUAAGAUCCCUGAAAGAUGAUCAGGUUGAUAGGUCAGAGGUGGAAGCGUGGCGACAUGUGUAGCUGACUGAUACUAAUCGAUCGAGGACUUAACCAA